rnacentral:rRNA from 1 species
CCUACGGGUGGCUGCAGUGGGGAAUAUUGCACAAUGGGCGCAAGCCUGAUGCAGCCAUGCCGCGUGUGUGAAGAAGGCCUUCGGGUUGUAAAGCACUUUCAGCGGGGAGGAAGGCGGUGGGGUUAAUAACCUCAUCGAUUGACGUUACCCGCAGAAGAAGCACCGGCUAACUCCGUGCCAGCAGCCGCGGUAAUACGGAGGGUGCAAGCGUUAAUCGGAAUUACUGGGCGUAAAGCGCACGCAGGCGGUCUGUCAAGUCGGAUGUGAAAUCCCCGGGCUCAACCUGGGAACUGCAUUCGAAACUGGCAGGCUAGAGUCUUGUAGAGGGGGGUAGAAUUCCAGGUGUAGCGGUGAAAUGCGUAGAGAUCUGGAGGAAUACCGGUGGCGAAGGCGGCCCCCUGGACAAAGACUGACGCUCAGGUGCGAAAGCGUGGGCAGCAAACAGGAUUAGAUACCCUAGUAGUC